ensembl:lncRNA
GUGGAGCAAAGAGUGACAGGUUGCAACCACCAACAUAUGAAAUGGAAGGCAGUAGGCACAGGACAGAUCCAGGCGAACGCAUGUCAGUGGCGAACAGGACAGUGAACCUGAAGAUAAGGCAGUGCUGUAACCUGACCCGUCCUCUUCCCCCCUCCAUCUCCCUGUCCCACCUUGAUGAAAAACUUGGUCUCCUUUAUAAUUUUUUAAAGAGAAAAAAUAUUUUUGAGAGAUGGGGGGGCAGAACAGUGCCCUAAGAUGCCUCAGUUUUACAGGCUGCCAAAGCAAACUUUUGCAUGCAGUAGAAACCGGGAAAUAAUGCUAAAAAAAUAAGAAGCAGAUUUGCCCAUUACUUACAUGUCAAAAGUGUGGCUAUUUGCCUUCACUUCUCAUGAUGAUAGUUCAUAUUCUGAUUUCUUCUUAAAAUAAAAAGACAGAGACAGCAAUGAAUUCCUGGGUGAGACGAAUAUGGAAUCUUUUAUAUCAAAAGCAGCUCUCCCCCUUUGAGAUACCUGGCUCUCUUUCCCUCACUUCUUCUGUUGCUGCUGCUGCUGUUACUGCUGCUCCAGAGGUGGUGUCUCUCCUUAUGGCCCCUGGGCUCCCACAUCUGCCUACCUGCUGCUGUCAUUCUCUCACCUGGUCUCCAGCGCUACUGCAGGUAAGAAAGCUGCUUUCCAGCAUUUGUUGAGUGGAGCCCAGCCGGACUGUCCUCCCUGCCUCCCUCCCCAGCAAUCCUCCUGCUGCUGAAUGAAGUGAGGGGGCUUCUGUCUCACAGGGGUUAGGAAGAUCAAACUGUCUACCAAUUACUCCUGGGAAGAUUGCCACCAGCCAAUAAGGAGAGGUGCCCUGAGGGGAACAAGUGAGAGGAGGUAUUGGGAAUGAGAGAGACGCACAGAGAGAAAUGGAGAGAGACAGAGGGAGAAUGAAUGAAUGAAUGAAUGAAUACAUGGAGGGGGGAGAGAGAGAGAGAAUGGGGGAAAGACUGAGAAGGAGUGACAUAGUGAUUCUGAUGGAGGGAAUGAGCAAGAGAGAGAGAGACAGGAAGGAGAAACUGAGAGGAAUAAGAGGGAGAAAGGGGGGAAUGAGGGGGUGCAGGAGCGCAGUGGUGACAGAUGGUGACAUUGAGGAGAAUACAAGCAGGAAAGGGAGAAUGGAAGAGGUAGUUGUUAUGAAGCUAUUAUACAGUGAUGGAAGUUUGAUGGCGCUAUUCUGCAGCAUCCUUGGAUCUGCAAUUUGGAGAGGAUACUCAGACUGGUCCAGUGUUCCCGUCCAGAGUGCCACAGCAGAACUCUCUAGGAGAGAAAUCUAAGUAUCUCACCACAUUACAAAUGUCAGGAUUACAAAUUUCAGUGGUAUCAGACUGCUGUAUCUGGGUCAUGCAGAUGCAGUCGAGGUUUAGUUGGAAACUUCUGGGUUCUGUAUUUGCAUCCUGUGAAAAGAAGAGAGGAGGAUCUGCUUUUCAUCAUCCGUGUAGCCAUUGCCUGAAUAAUUUCUAGUUUAAGUUUAGCAUUUCCAGCCCAAGGCAAAAUUGCUAAACUCCUUUUCCCCCAUUGGCUUCUUUUGCUGCUCCACCAUUAGCCUCCUGCUCUCCGCCAACAUGUACACAUUGUAGACUGACAGUCUGCUUCUCUGCUUUAUAUGUGCCUGUGUGGAGACAGAUCAUCCGCAAUGAUGGAUGCAGUUGCACCAGGCUCUUUGUGGUGCAGGACAUGGUGCACUCUUCUGCACCAUAGAGACCUACCAGCAUUUUUGAAAGUCUCUUUUCCUUCUAGAAGGGGAAGGAAAUUUAACAUAUAGGGUUUUUUACACUACCACCAUCAAGUCCUGCAGGCAUGUACCAUUGUUGUUGGUCAGUUUUGUCAGGGGCUGUGGUGGUUUCUGCAAGGAGAAUAAACCUAUCAAUUCUAAAGGAAGCCUGAGUUCU